AGGGAUUUGGGGACACCCCGAUUUGGGGGACCCAGACACCCAGAGAUUUGGGGACACCCCGAUUUGGGGCACCCACCUGUCCAGGUGACUUGGGGACACCCCAAUUUGUGGGACCCAGACACCCAGGGACUUGAGGACACCCCAAUUUUGGGGACCCGGGUGUCCAGGGUGGCUUUGGGACACCCCAAUUUGAGGCACCCAAGUGCCUGGAGAUAUGGGGACACCCCAAUUUGGGGCACCCAGACACCAACUGAUUUGGGGACACCCCAAUUUUGGGGAGCCAGGUGUCCAGGUGGCUUUGGGACACCCCAACUUGGGGGAUCCAGGUGGUCAGGGUCUUGGGGACACCCCAAUUUGGGGCACCCAAGUGUCCCAGUUGACUUUGGGACACCCCAAUUUAGGGGACCCAGCUGUUCAGGGUCUUGGGGACACCCCGAUUUGGGGAUCCAGGUGUCCAGGUGGCUUUGGGACACCCCGAUUUGGGGCACCCAGACACCCAGGGAUUUGGAGACACCCCAACUUGGGGGACCCACUUGUCUGGAGAUACGGGGACACCCCAAUUUGGACCACCCGGAUACCCAGGGACUUGGGGACACCCCAAUUUGGGGGACCCAAGUGUCCCAGGUGGCUUUGGGACACCCCAGUUUGGGGCACCCAGACACCCGGGGACUUGGGGACACCCUGAUUUGGGGCACCCAGACACCAACAGAUUUGGGGACACCCCGAUCUGGGGGACCUAGACACCCAGGGAUUUGGGGACACCCCGAUUUCAGGGACCCAAGUGUCCCAGGUGGCUUUGGGACACCCCAAUUUGGGGCACCCAGACACCAACUGAUUUGGGGACACCCCAAUUUUGGGGAGCCAGGUGUCCCAGGUGGCUUUGGGACACCCCAAUUUGGGGGAUCCAAGUGGUCGGGGUCUUGGGGACACCCCAAUUUGGGGCACCCAAGUGUCCCAGUUGACUUUGGGACACCCCAAUUUAGGGGAUACGGGUGUCUGGAGACAUGGGGACACCCUGAUUUGGGGCACCCAGACACCCAGGGACUUGGGGACACCCCGAUUUGGGGGACCCAAGUGUCCAGGGUGACUUUGGGACACCCCAAUUUGGGCACCCAGACACCCAGGGAUUUGGGGACACCCCAAUUUUGGGGAUCCAGGUGUCCAGGUGGCUUUGGGACACCCCAAUUUGUGGGACCCAGACACCCAGAGACUUGGGGACACCCUGAUUUGGGGCACCCAAGGGCCCGGGUGACUUGGGGACACCCCGAUUUGGGGCACCCAGACCCCCAGAGAACUUGGGGACACCCCAAUUUGAGCACCCAGGUGUCCCAGGUGACUUUGGGACCCCCCAAUAUGGGGGACACAGGUGGUCAGGGACUUGGGGACACCCCAAUCUGGGGCCCCUCACGUGUGUGUCCCCCCCCCCCGUGCCCCCUCGGGGUGCCCCUGGGCCGUCGCCCUUGGGCCCGAGGCACUCGGGGCCGCCCGCGUCAUCGCCGGGGGCCGGGAUAAUCCCGGAUGAGCCCCGGCAGCUGCCGCCGUAAUCCCCCGCGAGGACGCCGUGUCCCCUGUCCCCCCCGUCCNNNNNNNNNNNNNNNNNNNNNNNNNNNNNNNNNNNNNNNNNNNNNNNNNNNNNNN
rnacentral:lncRNA from 1 species